GCUAGAGUGGAGGAGUGGUUUCAAGGUUGGACUGAGACUCUGAAGGCCUGGGUUCAAAUCCUCGCUCAGCC